CGUGUAGGCGGCCAUGCAAGUCGGGUGUGAAAGCCCUCGGCUUAACCGAGGAAGUGCGCCCGAAACUACAUGGCUUGAGUACCGGAGAGGGUGGCGGAAUUCCCGGUGUAGAGGUGAAAUUCGUAGAUAUCGGGAGGAACACCAGCGGCGAAGGCGGCCACCUGGACGGAUACUGACGCUGAGACGCGAAAGCGUGGGGAGCAAACAGGAUUAGAUACCCUGGUAGUCCACGCCGUAAACGAUGAGCGCUAGGUGUUGUGGGUGUUGACCCCCGCAGUGCCGCAGCUAACGCAUUAAGCGCUUCGCCUGGGAAGUACGGCCGCAAGGCUAAA
rnacentral:rRNA from 1 species